AGAGUUUGAUCCUGGCUCAGGACGAACGCUGGCGGCGUGCCUAAUACAUGCAAGUCGAGGGCUGGAGCGUUUCCUUCGGGAAACAAUCCGGAGCGGCGGACGGGUGAGUAACACGUAGGCAACCUGCCCGUAAGACCGGGAUAACUACCGGAAACGGUAGCUAAUACCGGAUAGGUGGCUUCUUCGCAUGGAGAGGCCAAGAAACGCGGAGCAAUCUGCGGCUUACGGAUGGGCCUGCGGCGCAUUAGCUAGUUGGCAGGGUAACGGCCUACCAAGGCGACGAUGCGUAGCCGACCUGAGAGGGUGAUCGGCCACACUGGGACUGAGACACGGCCCAGACUCCUACGGGAGGCAGCAGUAGGGAAUCUUCCGCAAUGGGCGAAAGCCUGACGGAGCAACGCCGCGUGAGUGAUGAAGGUUUUCGGAUCGUAAAGCUCUGUUGCGCAAGGAAGAACGGCCCGGAGGGUA
rnacentral:rRNA from 2 species